rnacentral:misc_RNA from 1 species
AUAUGCUGCAAGCAUGGAGAAGUCUUCCCUUGAGUCUAGCAAUGUUGUCCUGCAAGAUGCUUAUUUGACAAUGAAUAGCACUGUUGAUUCGUUCUUGUCUGAACUCCAGGCCAAAGGGUGGCAUACCGAUCGCUUUUUGGAUGGAGCAGGUAGCCGUUAUGCAUGGUAGCAUUUUCUAGAUUCGAAUGAUAGUCCUAGUCCGUCCACUCCUUCAAGAUAGGAAGAUUCUUUGUUUGAAAUGAAUAGGGCAGC